AUGAUUACAACAUGUGGUAAAGUGGAAGGGCCUAUUGGAAUAGGCCAAUGAUGUUAGAUUUGAUUAAAGCUUAAUGAGGGAUGACUCGUCAUUGGAUUGACCGUCCAACAACUCCAACCAGCAAGAUCUCUAUUUAGUAGCCUUAGUGGAAGAAAUCCGGAGAGGAUCUCUUUCCUUCUGCUCCAACCAUACUCCUUCAAGCUGACGUGUUUCUCCCUGACCAUUUCGCUUCUCACUCCAAUUUUCUAUUAUUUAUUACAAAAUUAAAAGAAAACGGACACGAAUACGACACCGUAUCGUUUUUCCGCUUAUAUACGUUAUCUUCCCUCUACAAGGCUCAAUGUUUCUCUGUCAAUGGCUACGCUUUCAGCUACUCAGCUCCUCCAUCUUCCACUCCUACUGCCAACUCGGAAUCCCCGCCAUGCCCAUUUUCCCUUUCCCUCACUAAACCCUAACCCUAGGCUCUUCUCCUUCAACGGCGUCGUAUCUAGUUGUCGUCCAUUACAGGCCAUUCUCAACACUACCCUUGUCGCCACCGAUGCCGAAUCCGAACAAGAACCCCUCACUGUCUGUUAAAUCUGCCAAUCCCACGUGCCAACCACAUGCUUUACAUAAUGGAAGAACUAGGGUUCGUCGCGCCGACGCCCGUAUGCAGGCUCUGCCGACUCUAUUUUUUGGCUGCGACUGCAUACUCCACGCGCAGGUCAAAAUUUUGGUGCCGUAGGUGUGUUUUGUAGCCAAAGUUUGAAUCUUGUUAUGUGAUUUUUGGUAAUUAGACAGGUUCUAGGAAGACGCUGACGUACCUACUUUUGAUAUUUUCUGCUAUGAACACUCGGAGAUCGGCUGUUCAAGCUCUCGUUGUGGUCCCCACUGGGGAACUUGGGAUGCAAGUUACGAAGGUUGCUCGGAUGUUGGCCGCGAAGCCUAAGGAAGUUGAAUUGGAGCAGAAAUUGUGUACUAUUAUGGCGUUUUUAGAUGGAGGAAUGUUGACCAGGCACAAGAGUUGGUUAAAAGUGCUGCAUUUUAGUUUAUAUUGUUCAUUUUGUUUUACAUGUUUUCUAUGACUUAGGUUUCUGUAGUUGUAUGCUGUUACGAAGAGAUAUUGUAUUUGAAUGAUGUGGUUUAAUCGGUGCAUCAAUGCUGUUUCAGGCGGAGCCCCCUACUAUUGUGGUGGCAACCAUUGGGAGUUUGUCCAAAUGCUUGAGAAACAGAUGAUUAAGCUUGAAUCGAUGCUAGUGCUGGUAAUUGAUGAGAUAUGCCGUAAAAACAGAAGGAACAAAGCCUUGCUAUCCUUAUUACAGUCUGAUGCACCGUAGUCUUCAAUUAUUUUUGUUGGAGAGCAGGUUUUCAUCACAUAUCCCUCUUUGUGAUUUUGUUUUCAUGUUGAAGUAAUCAUAUGGUAUUGUCCUGCAGCUGGGCAUAACUCUGAUUUGAACUUAAGUAUUGCUCAUAAUUUUAUUAAUGGUUUGCCCAGAAGGUAAACCUCUAAUGAAGAUGCCACUUAGGCGUGGUUCAUACACAAGUGCUAGAGAUAUAUCUAAAAUUUUAAAGCUUAUAAUCCGUAAUUGUUGAUUUAAUUUUAAGUUUACAUUCUGAAUGAUAUAAGUGGGCUAUCCAUUCUAUUAAGGUAAUCUCCAACUAAGCCGGCCAAAGGGCCAUAGGCCAAAACGUGGCUCGUUUUGACACAAAACUCAUCUCCAAUAGAGGGCUGGGCCAAAAAGUUUGGGACUCAUUGGGCCAUAAAUCAACCAAAUGGCUAGCGAGCUAGAAUAAGAAAGACAGCAAGCCAGCCCAAUUUUUGAAAGCCUAAAUGUGUCUAACGAUAAAUGGGCGGAGCGAAGACGAGAAGAUGAGAAGUUCGAUGAAGAAAACGAAGCAUGGCGCAAUACAACAUUUAUGGCAGUAAUGGCUGGGGCCAUGGCGUGUGAGGAAAUUCAAGAACAAUCUUAAUGGGGUGGUCUGUUGUUUGUCGCUCUUACAAACCAUGAAAAAGAUAGAUCGCACAUGAGACUCUGAUGAACAACUAUUUCAAUUCAAACACAAUGUAACCAUAAGAGGAUAUCAGACAUUGCUUCCGGAUGAGGUGUCAUGUCUUCAAGUGUUUGCAUCAUGAUGUCCAACAUGUCAAUCUAUACUUUCGGCAGAAGAUUGAUAAAGCAUGUCGCUCUGGUUUCUCACCUCACCAAAAGGUUAUUGUUGCACUUCGAAUGCUGGCCAAUACCUCCCCAACUGAUGCGAGCGAUGAUACAUAUGAUCUUGCUCGGCUCAUUUGCAAAGCUGAAGAAUGUGGUUUUUUGGGCAUGAUAUAGUCAUUAAAUUGCAUGCAUUGGCAAUGGAAAAGCUAUCCCACCAUAUGGCAAUGAGGAUUUAGCGGAAGAUCAAGAAAGCCAAUUAUUGUGUUAGAGGCGGUUGCCACAGGGAUUUGACAUGCUUUCUUUGGAGUCCCAGGAUCAGAAAAUGACAUUACAGUACUCAUACAUUCACCCCUCUUUAAUAACCUGACGAAUGGUGAAUCACCUCAACAAGCGUCAACAAUAUGUGAUAUUACCUAGCAGAUGACAUCUACCUAAAAUGGGUGAUACUUGUCCAAGCAAUUGCAAACCCUGUGGAUGGCACCGAAAAGUGGUUUACCUUACAACAAGCGGCGUACCAGAAAGAUGUUGAGAGAUAUUUUGGUAUUCUAUAAGUUUGAUUGAAAAUCAUUAAAGAACCAAUAAGAGGGUGGAGUCAAGAUAAAUUAAACUUCAUCAUGAUGUCGUGCAUUAUAUUACACAACAUAAUUGUGGAGGAUGAGCAAGAUGACUAUAUUGAUGAAAAGUUUGAUGACGACUAAUAUGAUCCAAAUAGGACAAGGAGGGCUCAUGUGAGAAUAUAUGAUGGGCCUAAUUUGCCUCUGUAUGCAAGAACAACUAACGUAUCUUUAAAUGAAUACAUAAGGCGUCAUAGGAUCAUACGUUCGCGUAUCACAAACAAAUACUUACAACAUGAUCUUGUUUCACAUCUUUGAGCCAAAAGAACAAUGGAGUAGGCGUAAUAAACCAAAUGUUGUUUAUGUUUCAAUAACUCCCCUAAGUAAUACUAGGGUGGAAAUUAUGUUAUUAUUUGUUAAAUGUUGUUUAAGUUUCAAUAAC